rnacentral:rRNA from 1 species
ACCAGACUCCUACGGGAGGCAGCAGUGGGGAAUAUUGCACAAUGGGGGGAACCCUGAUGCAGCGACGCCGCGUGAGUGAAGAAGUAUUUCGGUAUGUAAAGCUCUAUCAGCAGGGAAGAAGAUGACGGUACCUGACUAAGAAGCCCCGGCUAACUACGUGCCAGCAGCCGUGGUAAUACGUAGGGGGCAAGCGUUAUCCGGAUUUACUGGGUGUAAAGGGAGCGUAGACGGCAGGGCAAGUCUGGAGUGAAAGCCCGGGGCCCAACCCCGGGACUGCUUUGGAAACUGUGUAACUGGAGUACAGGAGGGGCAGGCGGAAUUCCUGGUGUAGCGGUGAAAUGCGUAGAUAUCAGGAGGAACACCGGCGGCGAAGGCGGCCUGCUGGACUGAAACUGACGUUGAGGCUCGAAAGCGUGGGGAGCAAACAGGAUUAGAUACCCUUGUA